rnacentral:rRNA from 1 species
GACAGAGGAUGCAAGCGUUAUCCGGAAUGAUUGGGCGUAAAGCGUCUGUAGGUGGCUUUCAAGUCCGCCGUCAAAUCCCAGGGCUCAACCCUGGACAGGCGGUGGAAACUACCAAGCUGGAGUACGGUAGGGCAGAGGGAAUUCCGGUGGAGCGGUGAAAUGCAUUGAGAUCGGAAAGAACACCAACGGCGAAAGCACUCUGCUGGGCCGACACUGACACUGAGAGACGAAAGCUAGGGGAGCAAAUGGG